rnacentral:rRNA from 1 species
CCUACGGGAGGCAGCAGUGAGGAAUAUUGGUCAAUGGGCUUACGCCUGAACCAGCCAAGUCGCGUGAGGGAAGACUGCCCUAUGGGUUGUAAACCUCUUUUGUCAGGGAGCAACGCCGGCUACGUGUAGCCGGACUGAGAGUACCUGAAGAAAAAGCAUCGGCUAACUCCGUGCCAGCAGCCGCGGUAAUACGGAGGAUGCGAGCGUUAUCCGGAUUGAUUGGGUUUAGAGGGUGCGUAGGCGGAAUGCCAAGUCAGCGGUAAAAUCGCGGGGCUCAACCUCGCUCCGCCGUUGAAACUGGCGUUCUUGAGUGGGCGAGAAGUAUGCGGAAUGCGUGGUGUAGCGGUGAAAUGCAUAGAUAUCACGCAGAACUCCGAUUGCGAAGGCAGCAUACCGGCGCCCAACUGACGCUGAAGCACGAAAGCGUGGGUAUCGAACAGGAUUAGAUACCCUUGUAGUC